rnacentral:lncRNA from 1 species
GCUCAUCUCACUACCUUCACCCAGACCUCACUCUCCUGAGCUCAGAUAAUAAUCCAGUUACCAGCUGAACAUCUCUUUACUGUCCUCAAUGAGAAGGCCCAAGGAAUCACAGGGGAGGUCGCUACCUCCUUUUCAUCCUCCAGGACUCGGAUUAGAUGUCCCUCCCUCCGGAAGCCUUCCCGACUGGAUGACCUGAUGGGGUGCCCUUGUCCUGUGACCCACACAGCCCCGUACCAUCUCCAUCAGAAGCCUUAGCGUAUUCUGCUGUGAUUCCUUACCUGUGUCUGUCUCCUCCCGGGACCACAAGCUUCGUGGGGGCAGAAUUGCACCUCUGUGCUAUUCACGGCUGGAUUUCUAGCUCCCAGUUCUGGGCAAGGUGCCUGGGCAGUGCCCUGUUGAUGUGUGUUGAAAGACUUCGGGAAGUACUAUGCCGUCCAAGCCUACACACAGGAGAUCGUCUAACAUGUGGCUCACAGCUGACUCUCGUAGGGGCUCAGAUAAACGAGGAGAAGACAAAUACCACCUGGGCACCGUUACACCAUUCUGUGAUCUUUGCAAAAUCUGGGUCCCACCUCUAAUGUUAUUGACCUUCACUCAUCUGGCAUCUGCAAGCGAUGAGAACUGUGAAGGAGGGGACGGGCAUUUGAAUGGACAAAAGAGAUAUCCUAGUUGACUCAUGCAUCUGGAAGACAUCUACCGAUCCUGCUGCCCAAUGUGCCAGGUGCUGGCUGGGUAUGAAAGAAUUGGAACGGGAUACCACGUGGCCUGGACGUGAAGAGAUUCACAGUGGAAAAGGCAAGUAACACACAGUGUAUGAA